GGGGGGCAACUCCCUGAGUACAGCGGCGCACGGGUGAGUAACACGUGGGUAAUCUGCCCUGAAGUGGGGAAUAACACCGGGAAACCGGUGCUAAUACCGCAUACGAUCACGAGGUCUGCGGAUCUUGUGAUGAAAGGAGCAAUUCGCUUUAGGAGGAGCCCGCGGCUGAUUAGCUAGUUGGUGAGGUAAUGGCUCACCAAGGCAACGAUCAGUAUCCGGUCUGAGAGGACGGUCGGACACACUGGAACUGAGACACGGUCCAGACUCCUACGGGAGGCAGCAGUGGGGAAUUUUUGGCAAUGGGGGCAACCCUGACCAAGCAACGCCGCGUGGGUGAUGAAGUCUCUUGGGACGUAAAACCCUUUCGACGGGGAAGAAAACCGCAAGGUUUGACGGUACCCGUAGAAGAAGCCCCGGCUAACUCCGUGCCAGCAGCCGCGGUAAUACGGGGGGGGCAAGCGUUGUUCGGAAUUACUGGGCGUAAAGGGCGCGUAGGCGGUUCGCUAAGUUGGAUGUGAAAACUCUGGGCUCAACCCAGAGCCUGCAUCCAAAACUGGCGGGCUAGAGUUCUGGAGGGGGUAGCGGAAUUCCUGGUGUAGCGGUGAAAUGCGUAGAUAUCAGGAGGAACACCGGUGGCGAAGGCGGCUACCUGGACAGAAACUGACGCUGAGGCGCGAAAGCUAGGGGAGCAAACAGGAUUAGAUACCCUGGUAGUCCUAGCCCUAAACGAUGGAUACUUGGUGUGACUGGGAUUGAAUCCAGUCGUGCCGAAGCUAACGCAUUAAGUAUCCCGCCUGGGGAGUACGGUCGCAAGGCUGAAACUC
rnacentral:rRNA from 1 species